GGUAGUGUUCACCAAAUUCUCUCCAUUCUUCAGGGCUAGUUCUGGAAGCUGCUGCAUCAAGCUUUAGGAGGGCUAACAGUGAUGGGAAUGGACAAUACAGGAGCUUCCGGCCUCCCUCAGAGAACUGGCCCAGAGCAAGGACAUGGAGAUACAUAUGAAAUUUGGAAUAAAUGGCCAUUACAGACCCACAGGUUGUCAUCACAAAAUUAAAGUGAGAUGAGAAGGCAAACAUGCUCUAUGUACAAAACUGCCAGUUUUCCAGGCUAUCCCCCCAGGACUGAGAUGAGGUGAGAGGUAAGUUGUUUGUAAGUAUGACUUGACUGAGCAAUGCAACCAGACUGAACGUUCAGAAAGCCCUUCUGCGCUUGGAGCCAGCUUUCAUGUCUUGGAAAUCCUGAUUUAUUUCAGGACAGGAAAAAUCCGAGCCAGUUUGCAGGGUGGAAAUUAAAAUCUUAAAAACUAUGUAUGAAAAUCGAAUAUUCCAAAUGGCCUGGUUUAAACAUCACCCUGCAUCGUUGAUCAAAUGUAAAAGUUCUUUUUAUGACUUUUAUGACUAGGUGUAGGACUGGGGAAAGCCUUGGUGAAUAUUUAUGGGUAACCUCAAGGAAUUCCACUGACUGUACUUCAGUCUGCUUUUGUACCCACAAGUUUCUUUGGAGAUUUCAAGCCUGCAAAUGCUUAUGGAUUGAAAAAUAUUUUGGUUUGGCUGUAUUCUGUUAAAUUGUGAAUUUUGGGGAGUGGGAGAGAGACUAUAUAUAUUAAUUUGGACACAUUUAAGAUACUAUAUAUAUGUAUGCAUAUGUUUUUAUUCCUUUAGAUUUAUGUCUGUGACUUUCUUGAGGACAGGACCUUUGCUUUAACUAUCUCUGUGCCCCCAGACCUAAUGUAGUUUCUGGAAAAUAGGCAACACCCUAGAAAUGCCUUACUGAUUCACAUCAUUUAGUUAACUUUGUUGAACUCUCUGUGUGCUAGGUCCUGUGCUAGCUGCUGAGGGAGGUCCAGGGACAAAUAGAGACAAUGGGAUUUUCAAAUAGAGUUCAACUUUCAAAAUGAACUUCACUUUAAAACUUAAAUAAAUAAAAAGGCAGAGCAUAAAAACAACUAGCUCACAAAUUAAUUGCUUUUUUGCAAACUUCAGUAACUAGCCAUGCAGAUCUGCAAGUGCUGGUCAUUUCAUAUAGCAAUCUUCGGUGUAUUAGGAAGAGGUAUGGAAGCCAAUCUGAGUCUUAUGGUCCUUUCAACUAGUGAAGAAUGAGAUGUAUACAUACAACACUGGCUACUGGAAAGGUGGGUGGCAAUGGUGUAACCACCAUCAAUAAAUUCCAAAAUAUAAUUGUAGGUAUUUCCAUGUAAAUUACCUUAUUUAAUCCUCCCAAAGGUUGUGUAGCACUGGCACUGUUACUUAUGUUUUUUAAAAUGCUGUUUCUCAUCCUAGAAGUUCUUCCAGUUUUGAUCUGCUAAACAUUCCUCAUCUUUCAGGAACCACCUCCAAAGACAUCCUUUCUGUGAUUCUUUUCGCUCAAAACCAGCCAGAUUCCAUAGGCUCUUUCCUUUCUGCUUCCAUAUGUAAGACUUUGCAUAUUCCUCAAGCAUGACACUUAAGCUAGUGCAUUGCAAAUACAGUCCUGUCUCCAUGUUGGGCUGCGAGCUCUUCAAAUGGCUUCCCCAUCACACUUGUCCCCAGCCAGUUGCUCAACCUAGAACUUAAGGAGCUUUUCUUAACACUUUUCCAGUCUACAUCAGUGAGUCACCAAAUCCUUCACCUUUUCCCCCUAAAUAACCUGAGGCCUCCAAAUUCCACUCACCUGUACUGGGGUCACCUUAGUUUCGAUGGACGUCAUGUCUCCUCAAUCUACAGCAAUAGCCUCUUGACUCCUCUCAUUGUCAUCCCCCUGCUGUCCUGUAAAUUCCCACUGCAGCUGCAAUAAAUCCCACAGAUGUUAAUGUCACAUGCAGGAGCCUCUGCAGCCUGGCUCCUCCCCUCCUCUCCAGCCCCAUCUUGUACUUUUGCCCACUGCUCUUCAAACAGUUUUACCUUUUCUUUGCCAAGUGCUUUUCCACUGCAUGCUCUUCCCUCCGCCUAGAAUGCUCUUUCUGCCACUCUUCACCAAGCCAGCUCCUGCUCAGUCUUCAGAUUUUAGGUCAAAUGAUGCUUUCACAGAGUGGGCUUUAUUGAGCCCCUAGGAUCCUUUUCAGAUAAUUCAUUUUCGUUUUUUUUUCUUUUUAGCACCAAUCAGAACUUGCAUGCAUGUGUGCAUGUAUAUAUUUGCUUCAUGUCUGUCUCCUUCACUGGAAUGCAAGACUUGUUGGAGAAAAUACUAGUUGUCUGUUUGCCUUUUUACAUUAUUGUACAUCUAGUACCUACCUAGUGUCUGAGAGUGCAGUGGGUGUUUACUAUUUAUAAAAAUUUAAAUAAAUGAAUGGAGAAAAAUAAAGUUCUCCAAAUGAGACCAUCACACCAGUAUUACUGAAUAUGUCCCUUAUUUUUGUUUAGUGUGUUUCACCCUAGCAAAGGUAAAUUAAAUAUUAAAAAAAAAUUUCCAUCAGUUGUAAGUUUCCUUUAAUUCCCACUUUUCCUUCACCAAACAGUAUUUGGAAGGUGCUACUUGCCCCACUGAUGAGAAGCAUGCAUCUGGAAAUGUCCCACUUUCUGUCCAUGCACCUGUAGGUGGUCCAUUCCUGGGCUCACCUGACCCCCAUGCCCCAAAUGAAGACAGGUCUCUUCACUUUGGAGAAGGUCAUUCAGCAAGCUAUGUUAGUCCCAUUUCACAUUGUAGAAACUGAGGCAAGCAAGAAAUGGUGUAACCUGGCUGAGCUACAGCAGGGUCCCCUGGCUGCCUGUCAAAGAAGAUGGAUGAGACAGCCAGGGAAAGUGGGAAGGAUUCAAACCACAUCCUUGGUGCAGGCUGUCAGCAAGGCUGAUUGCAGGUAACCACACUUAACAUCCUACCCUCGGUCUGUAGGGCCCCGGUGUUCUGCGAUGGGAGCCCAAACACAGCCACCUUGGUGCCAAAAAAGAAAUUCUCCCUCAGAAUAUUUCCCAAACAACAUUUUUAUUUGGAAGAAACCUAGCCAGAUGAAAACACACACAGUGUUUUCUUCUCAUGUAUUUCCCUGCCAGCACAUAUAUGUAUAUAUUCUUUUUUCUUUUGUAGUCCUGACCACCCUGACAUUAUAGUUUUUAUUUUGAGGAGAUUUUAAAAUAAUUUUCCUGUAACUCAUUCAUCUUCCUGUCCUGAGGUGGAGUGAAUUUCACAUUUUCCAGCCAGUCUUAAUGUAGCAGAAACUAUCAGAGAUGCAGCUGUGACUUCAGGUGCUAGAAUAGAGGGUAGAGUUGGAGCAGGUGGGCUGGGCCAAUAAAAUACAACUGGGAAACAGGAACCCGGAGAGAAAUCUCCCCAAGUUGCCCUAUGCAGGGGUCUGGCCAUGCUUUCCUGUGAAACCUAGCUAGCCUCUGGUUUCCUUCCCUAUUCCUUCCUGGGCUCCAGAUGUGCUCCCAUCUCGGACCUUCCUUGUUCCUAUUGCAGCCCCCCUUUGGCCACACUAAACAUUGCCUCUCAUGUAUAGAGCAGAGCCGUGGCCCAGCUCAUUUCUGCUUCUUGCCCCAGAUUCUGCCGUACUGGUUAGGCUUAUGGCAAAAACAGCAACAAAUUUACCCCCCAUCCUACUAUUAUUUGCUCACUUUUCCAAGUAACUCAGGACAGAGCUCCCCAUGAAGACAAACAGAACAUCCUUGAUUGGUCCUAAAGAAACUGGGAUAAUUUCUUCCAACUUGUUUUCUGUUUAUUUCAUUGUUCCAAGCAUGAACUCAUGUAAUCCACCUGCAAGUUGAGUUCUAGAUUAUCUUCCUGAAGGUUAUCUGUAAGAGUAUUAUUCAAACUACUCUUGUGGUUUCCCUCUGGGCCUUUACUGAAUGCUAUUUCCCUGGCCUUGAAUAGUCUUCCCUGGGGCUUUCCUGUUGUUACACAUUCCUCUAGGCUCAGUUCUCGCUCUACAUCCUUCAGCAUGAAGCCUUCUCUGUGGACUGAGGAUUUAGGGAUAAGAGUCUAUGUUCUAGCUCUGGGAUAUCUGGGUUUGCAUCCCAAGUUAUUCAUUUACUAGCUGUGCCACACAGAACUGUUUGCUAAAUCCUGUGCCGCACUUGCUAUACCUGUAAGUGGGAAUAAUAUUAGUAUCUAUUUCAUAGGACUGUUGAGAAGACUUAUUCAGUUAAAACAUGUGAAGUAGUUAGAAUAGCUAGGGGCUCAAUUUCAUCCUCUCUACACAAUCAAGCUGGUUUGGACUUCUGUAUAACUCAUAAAACUUUCAUUCACUCUUUAAGUAAAUAUUUUAAAAGUUACAAUAUUCUAGGAACACUGCUAGGCACUGGGAAGAAAGUGUUCACAGCCUACAAUACUGUGUGUACAAUAUUAUAUGUUUGCCUUCUGUUCUUGCUCUCAGGUUGUAAAAACUGAAUGUAGAAACUUUCAUUCCUUUCUGGAGACCCCACAUACUAGUUUCUCAGUGCAUAUAUUCUAGACUGAAUUAAGAUUUUCUAUGGAUGAAAGUGGUGUCAUAGAGAUGGACCCUGAAGGAUCCAUAUUGUACUGUCUGAUCAUCCUUGAUCUCUUGGAAGAUUUAUGUUUAACAUUAUUACUUACUUAUGAAGAGAGUCAUCUGUCCUUUAAAGAGCAUUUGAUAAUAUAUGAAACUCAUAGUUUGUGUAAAAGAAUAACGUAUCAAUAACAAAACUACACUACCACCAUCAUGUGUGCUGUCACUGUCAUCACCACCAUUACCAUCACCACCUCCAUCAGCACAACUCUCACAUUAUGUGAACCAUUAUCACCAUCACACUCUCACUGUGACCACCGCCAUGGCCACCAUUAUCACCCCCAGCUCCACCACCAUCGUCACCAUGAAAAUAUACAUAAUAAUAAUUAUAAUAAUACUGACAAAACAAGUUAACAGACAUUGCUGAUUUUCAAGAUUAUCCAGUAACCUUAUGAGGUAGGAAUUAUUUUUACUCUUACUUGAUGGAUGAGAAAAGUGAGUAUCAAAUGCAAACAAUUUCUUAAUUUAUAUUUGUUUCCAUUUUAGAAAUAAGAUGAUACAGGGCUUUUGUUGGGUAUGUUCUUUGUCCCUCCAGAUCCACAUUCUACCUUCUCCUUCCCUGCUCUGUAGCACAAAGGCUGGCGUCGACAGACUGCCUCAUCUAGGCUCUCUUGUCCUCCAGCAUUCAGCUGAGUUCAGCCAAUGGGAAACAGCAGCAGGAGACUGGAGGAGGGGACAGGGGAAGACUGGAAUGUUUAUUCCCACCCCAUGCUGCUAUUUUCUAGUGGGCUGUUCUUCCUAUAGGAUGACUUUCUCCUACAACCACAGUUCUCCCCCUUUCUUCUGCUAACCUAAGAAGUAACAGCUCCGAGCUCUGCUUUCCUUAACCGCGCUCUCAUCUCUGAGGUAAGUACUUUUUGAUGACCUCUAUAAGUAUGCCACCUGUUUCUUGCCUGCACUCUGAAUGAUGCGAUGUAAUAUAUAAUAUUCAAUACGGAAUACAAUAUACAAUUGCUAAAAACGGGAAGGAAGGAAGGGAAGUAACUUGAUUUCUAUCACCAAAAUAAAGUCACUAUUAUAAUUUUGGUGUGUUUACUUUCAAUCUUUGUUUUCUAUGCAGGUUUUUGUAGUCGUUACUGUGAUAUGCAUGUAUUCAUACUCCCUACUUUUUCAUUUUGUUCAGUUACCAGUUAUUUUUUAACAUUGCUGAGUCUGCAUGACCAUUAUUUUUAAUGACCGGGUAAUAUUCUGUGGAGAGUUCUUUUAAUAGGUUUUGUUGUUAUAAAAGAUGCUUUUCCCACAGUUCAGUUGUACAUAUAAUAGGUUCCCUGAAGUAUGAUUUUUGGGUCAAAGGAAAUGAAUGUUUUUGAUUCCCAAUCUUGUUCCCAAAUUUCAAAUCAAGGGAUAUCUAUCAUUUUGUAAAGGAGUCACAAUUAUUUUCAUAAUUGUUUUUCUCUCAUAUGUUUUUUACUUCCUGUAGGGAAAACAGAAGAUCCUAUGGCCAGGAUUCUCACUUCACCGUGAUCUACUUGAUGAUGUAAUUGACCUACCAUGUAGGGUGAUGCUUAUACACCCACUGGCAAUGAGCCGUUAUUGAAACUUGCCAGAGGCAGACAUAAUUCUGGGACUCAACCUGCCACAGUGAGAAAAGGCUUGGUAUAAACCCUUUUACACACAACGUUCCCAUUGUAACUAUUCAGUCUCACCAAAUCCAGAGUGAACUUGCCCGGGGGCAAUCCCCCUCAGGAAGACGUUUGGCAUAGUUGGCAGGAUUUGUUGCAAACCAAAAAUAAAUGGAGUAAGAUGCGCUCAUGGGAAGGGUAUUUCAGCAGGCUGCCUCUAUGGAUGGGGAAAUACUUCAGGAUUCCCCUAUGGACUGAGAUACUUGGGUGUCCCCAAUGAGCACAUGGCCUGAGGAGGUGGUCUUCCUAGAGGAGUGGGCCCCUCCCCAGGACUGGGAGGGAGUGGAGAUGACACCUGGGGCCGUGGUGGAGGCCCUCAAUGAGAUUGAAAAAUCCUUAAAGAAACAGGAUGCUCACCAGCUGAUGGUGGUGGCAGCUGUGGGUUGGCUAUUUCUCAGUGUUAAGAAAGGCCAUUAAGGAGAAGGACAUACUCCUGUGAGAAGCAUGAGAAGAGGCAGCACAAGAAUGCAGGCUGCAAGGUGCUAUGGGGGAGAUAAAAGAUUUUUUGAUGACUGAGAUGGCGUUGCUAUGAGGUCUUAUGGAGAUGGCAAAGGAUGUGAUGACAGCCCAAGAGAGCACAAGAACACAGGCUGUGAGGUACCGUGGAGGAGGUGAAAGAUUCUUUGCAGAAUAAGAUGGCUCCACUGCAAGGCAUUGCGGAAGAGGCAAAGGCUACAAAGCAGAGGAUGAACUCCUGCGAGAAGCACGAGAAGAGGUGGCAUCAGAAUGCCAGCUGUGAGGUAUUGAGGAGAAGGCAAGAGAGAUGUUAAAGACUGAGGUAGUGUCACUGCAAGGUACUGUGGGGAAGGUCAAGGAUAUAGCAGAGGAAGCCCUUUGUGGAAGGAGAAAUCUUCCAUCAGACCUAGAAAUGGUGGAGGAGUCAGAGGAGAACAAGGAGGUAGGGUUGGUGCUGGAGGUAUUAACCAUUCCUCUCUUGAAAUCUUGCCUGGUUGUAGUCAGAAAAUAACAAACAGCCACCACGGGUUCCUCCAGGAGAAGCGAAGUAUCCUCCCCAGGUCAUGGAGCACUCCAUGCUCUGUCCCUAUACACAUGUGGAACUGGUGGAUUUGGGCUCCUUGUUUUGGCAGAAACCCUAGAAGUCCAUAUCAGCCUGGUUUUUGUGCCUUUGGGAUGUAGGGGUGGAUGGGAUCAUUGCGUCUGGAUCGGAGAUGGGAAAGCUGGCUCCCUGACAACUCACCCUGCCUUGCAGCAGUGACUGCAGAAUGCACACCAGACCCCAGGGAACCAUUCUCUUCUUGAAUGGGUAAUGGCUGCCCUUCACACUGUGUGGCCCAGUCAGGGUGACUUACCAUCCUCCCCUACUAGAUGGCAGAUGUUUGUUGAGCUCCAACAGUUGUUAUAGGAGUUGGGCAUGAAAAAUGCCAUUUUCUGGUGAAUUAUGGCCUGGACCAGGAGCCAUUUAUGGGAUGAGGGAUACAGUGCUGUAAACGGCUCCUUCAUCCCUCUUUGAGCCCUCAGUGGCCAUUCUUGCCCUUUAUUUAGGGCAGCCCAUAAAUGUGGUUACCUGUACCAUGGCAGAUUUGGGGGAGGCUGAAGCGAUGUGAGCAUGGAAGGGCAUGAAGGUCACAAGGCCCCAGAUUUGGGGUGAUUUAAUACAGGCAGGAGCUGAGAGAGAGAAAUUGGGUGGGAAGUCAAAUAGAAUCUUACUAGAGCUGCGGCAACAAAGGUCAGAGCAGUGGUUUCAGUCUCUGAGGACCAAGAAGUGGAGGCUGAAGACAGAGCCACAAGCCAGGCCUGUGUUCCCGUCUGCAAGACUCCCUGCUGAAGAGUGAACUGACCUCACCUGAACUCACACAGGAAAACAAUUGGGAGAUACGGUUUGACUGAGGGGAGUGUCAAGGCACCCACUUUCGAGGACAAGGUGGGGAUUGGAGGCCACAUGUUGAAAUAUCAGUUAUUGGUCCCCAGAGAAUGUACAAUGUAUCCUCUAUCUGGUAGACAGAGGAGCUGGAUUCUUACUGAUUUGGCAAUACUGAGCAGUGUCCUGGGACCCCUACUAUUAUAGAUGGAUAUGGGGCUAAGGCUAUCAGAGUGAAUCAAGCCCAAAUACUAUUGGGGAUAGGGCAUCUACUCACAUAGGAGUAUACUGUGUAUAUCUCUCCUAUCCCUGAAUAUAUUUUGGGGAUAGAUAUCCUGCAGGGCCUAUGUUUGCAGACCACCACAGGUGAGUUCAG